rnacentral:rRNA from 1 species
GACGAACGCUGGCGGCGUGCUUAACACAUGCAAGUCGAACGGAAAGGCCCUGCUUUUGUGGGGUGCUCGAGUGGCGAACGGGUGAGUAACACGUGAGUAACCUGCCCUUGACUUUGGGAUAACUUCAGGAAACUGGGGCUAAUACCGGAUAGGAGCUCCUGCUGCAUGGUGGGGGUUGGAAAGUUUCGGCGGUUGGGGAUGGACUCGCGGCUUAUCAGCUUGUUGGUGGGGUAGUGGCUUACCAAGGCUUUGACGGGUAGCCGGCCUGAGAGGGUGACCGGCCACAUUGGGACUGAGAGACGGCCCAGACGCCUACGGGAGGCAGCAGUGGGGAAUAUUGCACAAUGGGCGGAAGCCUGAGGCAGCAACGCCGCGUGCGGGAUGACGGCCUUCGGGGUGUAAACCGCUUUCACCUGUGACGAAGCGUGAGUGACGGUAAUGGGUAAAGAAGCACCGGCUAACUACGUG